rnacentral:lncRNA from 1 species
UAUUUUAAGAUUUUUUCAAAAAAUCGCUCAUUAAGAUUUUUAAAAUAAAAUUUGCAAAACGACUGAACAUCCCUAUUAUACCAUUUCGUGCAUACACCCUUUUGGUUUCAAAUCGACGAAUCCAUCAAAUCAACUGACAGCAUAGAUUCGCUCGAACGAAAACAGCGAAUGUCAUGAAAAAAAAUAAACAUUGUAGUGCACCGACUAUCGUCGUUCUGUCGCCGGCUAUUAUUUUUGUUAAACUAAACAAAAAAACAAGUGGAAAUUUGAGAUCUCAGUAUCGAAAUACCAUGGUUUUUUGGAAGGACAUCAUGCAUUACCUGUUUUCACUUGUUGCAAACCUACAAUAUUUAGGAUGGACGAGCUCAGCAUUGCCAACAGCUUGGGUACCACCUCGCAGAAUCGCAAGAGAGAGUAGUUUUCAAGGAAAUGGAGUACUCUGAACCAGUGUUACUGAAGAGCUAGCAUCAGUGAUGGUUUUCAAAACUACGCAGGUAUCAGGACAAGGAUCGAGUUUGACUGUUGUGGGCAACCCAAGAUAGGGGAAGAUGUUAUGUAAAAUUAUCCUAUUGAAUUUCAAAUUUUGAUCACAAUGAUGAACAUACAUACAUUGAGAAACAGAAAAUUGCA